rnacentral:rRNA from 1 species
CAUAAGCCAGCUUGACUGCGAGCGUGACGGCGCGAGCAGGUGCGAAAGCAGGUCAUAGUGAUCCGGUGGUUCUGAAUGGAAGGGCCAUCGCUCAACGGAUAAAAGGUACUCCGGGGAUAACAGGCUGAUACCGCCCAAGAGUUCAUAUCGACGGCGGUGUUUGGCACCUCGAUGUCGGCUCAUCACAUCCUGGGGCUGAAGUAGGUCCCAAGGGUAUGGCUGUUCGCCAUUUAAAGUGGUACGCGAGCUGGGUUUAGAACGUCGUGAGACAGUUCGGUCCCUAUCUGCCGUGGGCGCUGGAGAACUGAGGGGGGCUGCUCCUAGUACGAGAGGACCGGAGUGGACGCAUCACUGGUGUUCGGGUUGUCAUGCCAAUGGCACUGCCCGGUAGCUAAAUGCGGAAGAGAUAAGUGCUGAAAGCAUCUAAGCACGAAACUUGCCCCGAGAUG